rnacentral:rRNA from 1 species
GACGAACGCUGGCGGCGUGCUUAACACAUGCAAGUCGAACGGAAAGGCCCUGCUUUUGUGGGGUGCUCGAGUGGCGAACGGGUGAGUAACACGUGAGUAACCUGCCCUUGACUGUGGGAUAACUUCAGGAAACUGGGGCUAAUACCGGAUAGGAGCUCCUGCUGCAUGGGGGGGGUUGGAAAGUGUCGGCGGUGGGGGAUGGACUCGCGGCUUAUCAGCUUGUUGGUGGGGUAGUGGCUUACCAAGGCUUUGACGGGUAGCCGGCCUGGGAGGGUGGCCGGCCACAUUGGUCCUGCGAUACGGCCCAGACUCCUACGGGAGGCAGCAGUGGGGAAUAUUGCACAGUGGGCGGACGCCUGAUGCAGCAACGCCGCGUGCGGGAUGCCGGCCUUCGGGUUGUAAACCGCUUUCGCCUGUGACGAAGCGUGCGUGACGGUAAUGGGUAAAGAAGCCCCGGCUAACUACGUG